rnacentral:rRNA from 1 species
UACGUAGGGGGCAAGCGUUGUCCGGAUUUAUUGGGCGUAAAGAGCUCGUAGGCGGCUCACUAAGUCGGAUGUGAAAACUCCAGGCUCAACCUGGAGACGCCAUUCGAUACUGGUGUGGCUUGAGUUCGGUGAGGGGAGCACGGGAAUUCCUGGUGGUAGCGGUGGAAAUGACGCAGAUAUCAGGAGGAACACCGGUGGCGAAGGCGGUGCCUCGUCGGGCCGAAACUGACGCUGAGGAGCGAAAGCGUGGGUAGCAAACAGG